AAGCUGAUUCAAAAUUUGAAAACCCUAAUGCUUCUGCAGCACUCUCUCCCUCUCCAUAAUUUAUGGCGAAGAUGGAGGUGACGACUCACCCAUCUUCUCCCCUUUUCUCUUUUUCUCCGGUAACACCAAACCUUAUUUUCUACUCUUUCUCGCUCGGCAUUCCAGCAGUGGUAGUGAAACCGACGACAAUAUAAGCGAUCAUGAUAGUGGCAGAGUUAGGUGGAAAAAGCGGCCACUACGGCAAAACUUCGAUUGUGCAAUGGCUGGAUUUAAGGAGAAUUAUCCAGAUGUAAUUUGCCCCCUACAAAAACACAUGGUAAGUAUGUUUGACUUCAAAAUUCAAACAUAUUGAAGGAGAAACGUCUCUUCAAUUGAAGCAGAAAAUGCAGCGGAUGCUGCACACAAAAUUAAAGGUGUACAAGUAGGCUCCAAGUAAUUAAUUGAAAUAAAAUUGCAUACACUAACAGCUAAUAAUGACUUAGUUGCUGAUUGCAAUUUAUAUGGAAGUUUCGGACUCCGUGAUUCGACAACAUUGUUGCUGACAUUAAAACACCAUCAGCAGAAGGCUAAUUAAAAUUCACCUCAAGGAUACCAACUACCAAUUAUGUGCAGGUUGGGUAGAGAGCGUUACAACUAUCGGGUGGUAAAAAACAGCGAAUAGCAAGAGCAUUGUUAAAGAACCCUUCAAUCUUGCUUUAGAUUCAAGAAUCCGAAAAAUUAGUACAAGGGGCAUUAGACAAGUUUAUGAUCGUGAGGCUAUAUGAUCUCAUUUUUCUUAGUGAAUUUCUUAAUUACUCUUUAGUGUUUAAUAUUAAACUCUUCUUGGCAAUUGCUUUCAGGCUGUAUGAUCUAAGACGUACCGUUUUAUCGAAAGAGAGGCGGUUGGCAUUGUUUAGAUAUAAUUUGAAUCCAAAAAUGAUCGAAAAGGGUAUAUUUAUAUGCUAAGUUAAUUUAGUAAUCUUGUUUUUUUUUUUUUUUUGCAAUAGUUAAAAGAGAUGGUGCUAGCACUCUUACACGAAUCAGAUUUGGUCGGAUAAAUGGGGAGACACAUCUAAUUACACAGGUUAUUUCAAUGGAAAGAAUGACAUAUAUGCUUUUGGAGUGGUGUUACUGGAAACACUUAUGGGCCUACGGGUUUUUGAUAAAACGCGGCCAAAAAAUGAGCAAGAUCUUGUGCAAUGGGCGAGGCCGAUGCUACCCAAGAAAAAGAAGCUAAUGAAUUUAAUAGACCCCAGUCUUGGUGAUGACUACCCACCAACCGAUCGAUUUUUUUCAAAGAAUGAAGAAUUAUACGCUUGGUUUUUUGUGGCUGUGUGUUUUCUGGAAGUUCGAUUUCCCUCUGUUUAUGGUUCUCGUGAUAGCCGUCCUCGACGAUGGUACGAUCAUGACAAUAUCGAAAGAUAGAGUAAAGCCAUCUCCGAUUCCCGACAGCUGGAAGCUCACGGAAAUCUUUGCGACCGGGGUGGUUCUCGGUGCUUACCUGGCAUUAAUGACAGUUAUUUUCUUCUGGUUGGCAUAUGAAAACUAACUUUUUCCCGUGGGUUAAGCUUGACAAGAAAUUGGAAAUAGCUCUCCUCCAUUCAUAUCGCAAGAUAACUUAAUAAAUGGAUCGAUGCCUGAAGGUUCUUAAAGAACAAAUUUCUAAAUGGUAUUAUCUUAGCUGAUCUAUGUCGGAACAAUUUGUUUAAUGCAACCUCUAAACUUCUACUAUAAGUUCCUGAGUAAAUACAUUGAUGGUAAAGGCUUAUUGGGGAUGAAGCGUUGUUUAGGUGACAAUCGAGUUGCGAUUCCAAUUCUCUCCCUUUCUCAAAUGCAAAUGGUUUUGCAUAAAAAAGCCAUAACAUUGGUUCUCUGUCUCAUCUUGUGGUAAGGUUUUUUUCUUAUUGUUUUAUGUUUUCAUUUGGCAAACUGCACGAGAUAGAAAUACUAUAAAAAGCCAUAACAUUGGUUCUCAGUUUGGGUUUGUUUUUUA